rnacentral:tRNA from 1 species
CAAAGAGUAGUUUAAAUGCUAGAAUACUAGCUUUGGGAGUUAGUGGUGAAGGUUGAAAACCUUUCUCUUUGA